UACGUAGGGGGCUAGCGUUGUCCGGAUUUAUUGGGCGUAAAGAGCGUGUAGGCGGCCAGGUAGGUCUGGUGUGAAAACUCGAGGCUUAACCUCGAGAUGUCAUCGGAAACCAUCUGGCUAGAGUCCGGAAGAGGAGAGUGGAAUUCCUGGUGUAGCGGUGAAAUGCGCAGAUAUCAGGAAGAACACCAAUGGCGAAGGCAGCUCUCUGGGACGGUACUGACGCUGAGACGCGAAAGCGUGGGGAGCGAACAGG
rnacentral:rRNA from 1 species